rnacentral:rRNA from 1 species
CCUACGGGAGGCAGCAGUGAGGAAUAUUGGUCAAUGGACGAGAGUCUGAACCAGCCAAGUAGCGUGAAGGAUGACUGCCCUAUGGGUUGUAAACUUCUUUUAUAAAGGAAUAAAACGAGGCACGUGUGCCUUUUUGCAUGUACUUUAUGAAUAAGGAUCGGCUAACUCCGUGCCAGCAGCCGCGGUAAUACGGAGGAUCCGAGCGUUAUCCGGAUUUACUGGGUGUAAAGGGCGUGUAGCCGGGUUGACAAGUCAGAUGUGAAAUCCUGCGGCUUAACCGCAGAACUGCAUUUGAAACUGUUGAUCUUGAGUACUGGAGGGGCAGGCGGAAUUCCUGGUGUAGCGGUGAAAUGCGUAGAUAUCAGGAGGAACACCGGCGGCGAAGGCGGCCUGCUGGACCGCGACUGACGUUGAGGCUCGAAAGCGUGGGGAGCGAACAGGAUUAGAUACCCCAGUAGUC